rnacentral:lncRNA from 1 species
CUUUGACUCUUUUACGUUUCUAAUUCUUGUUUUUUUCUCCUUCAUGAUUAGAUCUUGUUCAUUAUUUGCCAACAACACAGAGGCUGUCAAAUAUAAGCUGCACAUUUGAACAGAAAUAAAGCAGGUAGAAAAGACACUUUAUUCUGUAUGGGAAAUUAUUACAUUAUUCAGUUUUGAAUAAAAGAUUUUUUUCAGUAAAAAUGAAACACAGUUAUUUGAAGCAGUUUUAGCAGAAACAACAUUUUUCCUCUUCUUUUCAUAGAUAUUUCACAAAUGUUUCAAAAUACUGUAAAACAAUAAAAAAAACAUCUCAUUACUUUUAAUACAAAUUCCACAAAUGUCCAGAAGACCUUUAGUUGAAUCACAAAAGUCUCCCUUAGAUUUCACCAAUAUUCAAAAAUGCUGUUUAAUAAUCAGAAAAAUGUUUAAAGACAAAUUUGAACACGUCCGAUAACAGUAAAACAAAUUUAAUGAUUAUUCCAAAAUUCAGAAUUACAACAUCAGACCGAGAGGAAAAAGUCUCAUUACCUGAAUGUCCUUAAAAACACUCGAUUAUCAAACUGUCUCUUUGACUUUAAAAAUUACAAAAGAUAAAAAUAAAGAAGACAAACCUGUUUUAAUACUUUAAAUACAGAUUUUUAUAAAUGUUCAUAAUUUCUGUGUUUCAGUUUCAGACACUAAAAUAUCACAGAACUUUAAUUACAAAUAGUGCUGUCCUGUUACUCUCUAUAGCAAAUUCACAAAUGAUUGAUAAAUACAGUUUAAAUCAGUGUCGUCAUUAUUGAAUAUAGAUCUAUGAAUACAUACAGAUCUAACAACUGUUCAUAGACUUUAAUGUAAAAAUACAUUUUUGUUUUAUAAUGGUGCUCCUCUCAGUGAUUAUAAGUCAUAAUGAAACCAGCAGAAAUUUAUAUUCAUAUUUUCAUAAUAAUAAUAAUAAUAAUAAUAAUAAUAAUAAUAAUAAUAAAGGACAAAGUUGACAUAAAGGUGACUAAUGUCAAAGACGAUAAGAGAAAUGAAAAAUUAAUAAAGUGAAAAGUUGUUUUAAUUAGAUUCUCGUCUGAACACACAUUUAGUUUUUAAAUCAAAGUGAAUUAAUGUGAAUUUAAUUAAAAUAUGUUGAUCCACAGCUUCCUCUUUUAGUCAGUUAAAAAAACUGAAUUUUGUCUAAAUGUAUGAAAUAGAUAGAAACCAGGUUUAUUUUAUUGUCUGUUUUCAUGUCUUUAGAUUUCCUGAAAAUGAAGAAUCUCCUUUUUUCAAACAGUCAUUUAGUUAUUUUUAUUCUGUAAAUUACAAACCCUAAAUUUUUGUCGUUUUCCUGUCUCUUCUUUAAUUUUUUGUUGUCUGUUUUCUGCGGUGGAGUUCAGCUGUUUGUUCCUUUUGUUUGUUUCUGCAGCAGCAGACAGAAAAACCUCGGCUCUGUUCAUCCAGAGGGAAAGAAAAAGAAAAAGCUCGAUUCUUUGUGUGGAGUUUUCUCGUUAAGCGUCUGCCUGCUGAGGCUGUGGGACCGUAAAGAAACCUCCGAAUAACACCUCAUCAGUUAUUCUACGCCGUUUACAAUGAGGCUCUGCGGGGAAUUCAGGCUGCUGCACGCUCCACGCUCAAAAACACGGACACGUAUGGAUCAUGUUCAGAAAUGCAGAGAGGAGCAGCAAACAUCAGGACGGAGAGAGAUUCACAACAACGUUCAGAGAAUGAAAUCAUGAAAUCAUUCAUGAAGAAAAAACAGUCAAAGAAAAUUCCUUUCUUUUUUUUUGGUGGAGGUCUGAGAAGGUUUCGUACAAAUAAAAAAUAAACACAGACUGUUUUUAUUAUCUGCUGUCAUUCAGAGCCGAUUAUCACACACGUCAUUUAUUCUUAUUUUUUUAAGUUUAUUAUCAGAUCAGAUCAAAAAUCUAAAAUUUGGUUUAUUUGUUAAAGAAAAAAAGAAGUUUGCACAGAUGUAAUAUUUAUAAACAGCAUUUCUUUAUUUUUAUUCUUUUCUUAUUUAAUUUCCAUUUCUGUCCUGUUUGACUGAUUUCCUCUGAGACUCUAAAUUUCAAAGUAUUUUAAAUUAAAUAAAUAAACUUAUUAUUUAAAGAUCUUCAGCUCAUAUUUCCUGAACUCGUUUCUUUAUUUAACUUCUUUCUUAAAUUCAGUUUCACUCGUCAGUUUUUCUCUCAGACCUUUUUUUUAAUUUGUUUUCUCUGUUAUCUUAAUUUUUCUGGUUUCGUUUUCCCUCCUAAAAUAAAUCUCUGUCCUUCCUGCUGUGAAAAUAAAUUAAUCCGUUGUAAUCUGCGGUUUGUUCAAAGAUGACACUUGAAGGAGGCUGUAAUCUCUCUCUGUGUUUUUUACUGCUGAGUAUUUUUUAAACUCUAAAAUUAAAGAAUCCUAUUAAAUGAUAUUUAAACUUUCCCUUUAAUUUGAGUUUUGGUUGAAUCUCCCGUGUUUCCUCGCCGUUCGCUGACCUGCUGACAGUCUGGAUUUGACGGCUUUCUCGCCGCUGCUCUUACCUUUCCUCCCUCCUGCCUCUCUCCAUUGUUUCUACCUUUUAUUUCUAUUUUUACGUGUUGUGUUCUGGUGUUAUUCAGAGCGCUGAGGCGAGCUGUCAGCUCGACGCCGCCAGGCAGAAAAGUCUGUAAACCAGCAGCCACCAUAUGUCUCUCGCUCUCCGCCGUUUUCUCGCUUCAUUACUCUCUCUCUCUCUCUCUUCAUCCUCUGUCUGUUACUUAAUCUUCCUCUCUGUAUUGAUUUAUUUCUCUUUUCUAUCAUUUCAUCCCCUCCUUCUGUCUUUCUCUCUCACUCAGGCUCUUUAUUGAACAUUUACAUUAAAAACAACAAAAGUAUGUGAACAUAAAUCUGUGUAAUUUCAGGAUCUUUAACAAACACGCCGGUGUCUCCUUUUCUUCUGCUGAGCUCCAUUCAUUCUCUAAAACUACUAAAACCUGCUGCUUCAAACACACGGUUAAUCAGAGAAUACAGACUCAUCCGCCGCUGAAAAUAGUCCCUGACACCGACAUGCUGAAACAAAGAAAACACAAAAAAACGAUGAAAUAAACGGUAAAAAUGAUCUUUAAUCGUCCGGUUCGAACCCUCAGCAGUCAUUAAAGGAGCUGCACACGUCUGAACCCUCAUCAAAAUCCACUAACGCAGUUUUCAAUUAAUCAAAUUACACAGAUUAAUUGGCGAACAGUGAACCCGGGGCCUUUGGGGCCCCUCAGGGUCCUGAACAGAGGGCCCCUUAUUGUCUAAAACCCGGCCUUUAAUAUUCAGUCCAGCUGCAUUGUUCCGUGUUUUGUCUUCUCAGCCAUUAUAGGACAACAGAGGGACGUUUGUCCGGUGACGUGUCGGCGGUCAGGUUAGAAAACGUCGCAGGAAUCUGAGGAGAGUUUAUUUAAAAUAGUUUAAAAGAGGUGUGACGGAGCGGCGAGAAUUUAAUGUUUAACGCCGUGAUGAAACACGAGUCAACGCCGAAGAACGAGAACGAGAUUUACGUGACGAACGUGAACUUUCAUUAUUUAAGUCGGGAUGAGUUUAAACUGACGUGUUUUACUGCUUAGAGGACGAGACGGUUUAAUUGUCUUUUUUUCACUGAGUCUGUUUAAUUUGUGUUUUAAAAAGUUCGUUUUAAAAUCAUUAUUUGUGUCGAUCAUGUUUGCACUCUGACUCUGAAACUUUCAUCCAUCCAUGUUUGAUUUUUGACGUUUUUCGUCUCCGUCUCAUGUCAAGAUUUGUACCCACAUCCAUGCGGUUCAUGAACGCCUGAUUCAUGUCUGUUUACACCGCUCUCCCAACCUGACUAUGGAUCGCUUUUUAUUUAUUUAUUUAUUUAUUAUCUAUAUUUUUAAACUAUUGUCUCAUCAUUAUCUAAUCAUUCAUUCAUUCAUUCAUUCAUUAUGUUAUUUCUUGUGGGUUUCGGCGGCGGUUUCCAUUUUGAUAAUGCGAGACAAACCAAACUUUAGAUCGACCAACCAGACACGUGUGUGUGAGGCGGGUUAACCCUGACGAGUUCAGACCAAAACCACUUUCAUAAACCAGACUGCUAACAUGUUCAGGUUUACUCAAGAAAUCGGCUUUUUUGGCUUAUGUGUUGCCUCCAGUGGACACUCAAGGAAUUACAGUUUUCAGCACUUCAACACCGGCGUUAUUUCACAAGACCAGGGGUGACCUAAUCUGGUACGUCUUCUUUUUCAGCUCAGAAAAAUAAAACAUUCCGCUCUUUUCAGUUACCUUUGAAAGUUAAAAACGAUUCACAAGAAUCUGAAAAUUUAACGAUCUUUUAUAAAAGAAGUUCAGGAUGUGAUUCCAGGAGAUAAACCUCUAAAGUUUGAAGUAAACCCUUCAUGUUUUCAUGCCCCGCCUCCCCAGCCGAGAAAGUCUGGUCCCGCCCCUUCUCCAAAAUGAGGACGCUGAGUAAAUAUAGACGACCUUUGACCCCGAGUCGAUCUAGACCUCCACAGACCCAACUUCACUCAGAACCUUUCCAUGACACUCAUGAAAACCGAAUUAUCGCCUUAUUCCAAUUAAGACCGGACAACUGAAGGUCAUGUAAACAACAAAACCCCCAGAGUAGAGGAGUAGCGUUGGUCUCCUCUUUAGAAAAAGUAGCGCGUCCAUCAUGUCGGACAAAAACAACGCUGUACGAUGCUCCAUCUUCUUGUUUCUCCAAAAUGCCCAGCAGCAGUUGUAGACACUUCUGACGUCUGACACCGACCUGCUGUUGUUGUUGACGGUUGGAUGGAAAGACCCAUAUCGCCCCCUAGUGUUGGGGAGGAGUCUCAGCUUCACUGUAGAUAGAAAGUUACACAGAUGCUUCACUCUUGUAUAUUUCAAUGGUAUAAAACCACAAAGGAAUAAAGUUUCUUCUUAAUUUGAGGUCAAAACUCUUUGAGUCUCAGUUUCUCUGUAAAUCUGAAGUUUCUCAGAAGUUUGACUUUAUUAUAAAACUUCGAUCAGCUGCGAUCGGAGGAUACGACCUUUUCGUAGAUGUUCAGGAUGAAGGUGGAGAUUAGGGGUUAGUCUGUUCUGGAUCCUCUUAACUUCCAAUUAAUGAAUCAAAUCAAAGUUUGAUUUAUUGAACGGUUAAAUGGUUGAACGGUUACGAUCAGCUGUGAUCGGCUGAUACGGCCUUUUUGGAAAUCGGGGGUCAGCGUCACUCCUCCUGGUUCAGAGUCCGUUUGUUCGUCUUUUUUGACCCUGAAUCGAUCAGAUUUGCGUCUUCAGACGAGAUAAAAAUCUUUUGACUCCGACGUUCAUGACGGCGAGCGAGGCAGGAAAGGACCAAUCCCGUCAUUCUCAGUUUUCUGUUUCAUCACCUCUCAUCCUUGAUUCUGAUUCCUGUCUCACACUCUCCUCCUCUCUCAACAUCUUUGUCUUCCUCCUUUUUUUCUCCUCCUCCUCCUCCUCUUCCUCCUCUCUCUGUCUUUCACUUUUCUCCCCUUCUGGCAGACAGAGGGAUGAUGGGUUUGUUGCCGUAGUAACUCCUCCAUUCAGCCUCCCUCUGUUGGCAGCGGCAGCAUCACCCGAUGACGACAGACGAACACAACAGUUUUCCCGUGUCGCGGUGAUUUAGUUGUGUCUGUUAGGAAACAAAACCCGGCUAUACAACAUCAGACCCCCUCCCUCUCUGCCCUCCUUCAUCCCUCCAUCCCUCGUUUCCUCAUCCCUCCGUCUGUUCGCCGCGCUCGCUCACAUGUUGAUUACACACAGCGGCAGAAAAGACAACAGACGAGUAAAAACAAAUGAAACCAGCCUCACAAUUAUCGCCCUGCCGCCGCGUCGCCUCUCCUCGCCGAGCGGCUGUUUCUCCUCUCAGAUGUUUGUUGUUUGAUCCAGAUGAGAUGAAACGUUAUUGAUCGCCGCGGGGAGACGAAGACAAUAACCUGAGGCAGGAAUACAGGCGGCGAGACGGUAAAUGAGGACGAGGCGAGAUGUGGCACGUCGAGCGGUGGAGAAAAGAGAGGAGGACAGGGAUGUAGUUUCAGUUUCUGUGUUUUUCUGAUGAUUGCCACCCGACGAUCUACGACCACGAAAACAACAAUAUCAGUCAGACCCUCAGACGACUCCAGACGGACCUGACGCUGCUUAUCAACCUUCAGGAAGAGGGAACCAAAAACCAGGUCCAGGUCUGAGCCGCUUCCACCGAGUUUAGGCCGACGUGAGCGAGAGCAACAACCAGGAAGUGAACGCCAAGAGUAAACGGUUCAAUGUACGAAUUAAAAUCC